GUUGAAACACCGGUUCCCGUAUGAUCACCGAAGUUAAGCAACAUCAAGCCUGGUCAUUACCUAAAUGAAUGACCAUUUGGGAAUAUCAUGUA